rnacentral:rRNA from 1 species
GACGAACGCUGGCGGCGUGCUUAACACAUGCAAGUCGAACGGAAAGGCCCUGCUUUUGUGGGGUGCUCGAGUGGCGAACGGGUGAGUAACACGUGAGUAACCUGCCCUUGACUUUGGGAUAACUUCAGGAAACUGGGGCUAAUACCGGAUAGGAGCUCCUGCUGCAUGGUGGGGGUUGGAAAGUUUCGGCGGUUGGGGAUGGACUCGCGGCUUAUCAGCUUGUUGGUGGGGUAGUGGCUUACCAAGGCUUUGACGGGUAGCCGGCCUGAGAGGGUGACCGGCCACAUUGGGACUGUGAUGCGGCCCAGACUCCUACGGGAGGCAGCAGUGGGGAAUAUUGCACAAUGGGCGGAAGCCUGAUGCAGCAACGCCGCGUGCGGGAUGACGGCCUUCGGGUUGUAAACCGCUUUCGCCUGUGACGAAGCGUGAGUGACGGUAAUGGGUAAAGAAGCACCGGCUAACUACGUG